UUGAACGCUGGCGGCAGGCCUAACACAUGCAAGUCGAGCGGAUGAAGGGAGCUUGCUCCUGGAUUCAGCGGCGGACGGGUGAGUAAUGCCUAGGAAUCUGCCUGGUAGUGGGGGAUAACGUCCGGAAACGGGCGCUAAUACCGCAUACGUCCUGAGGGAGAAAGUGGGGGAUCUUCGGACCUCACGCUAUCAGAUGAGCCUAGGUCGGAUUAGCUAGUUGGUGGGGUAAAGGCCUACCAAGGCGACGAUCCGUAACUGGUCUGAGAGGAUGAUCAGUCACACUGGAACUGAGACACGGUCCAGACUCCUACGGGAGGCAGCAGUGGGGAAUAUUGGACAAUGGGCGAAAGCCUGAUCCAGCCAUGCCGCGUGUGUGAAGAAGGUCUUCGGAUUGUAAAGCACUUUAAGUUGGGAGGAAGGGCAGUAAGUUAAUACCUUGCUAUUUUGACGUUACCAACAGAAUAAGCACCGGCUAACUUCGUG
rnacentral:rRNA from 1 species